UACGAAGGGGGCUAGCGUUGCUCGGAAUGACUGGGCGUAAAGGGCGCGUAGGCGGUUUGUACAGUCAGGUGUGAAAUUCCCGGGCUCAACCUGGGGGCUGCACUUGAUACGUAUGGACUGGAGUGGGGAAGAGGGUCGUGGAAUUCCCAGUGUAGAGGUGAAAUUCGUAGAUAUUGGGAAGAACACCGGUGGCGAAGGCGGCGACCUGGUCCGAUACUGACGCUGAGGCGCGAAAGCGUGGGGAGCGAACAGG
rnacentral:rRNA from 1 species